AGUCUGAUGGAGCAACGCCGCGUGAGUGAAGAAGGGUUUCGGCUCGUAAAGCUCUGUUGGUAGUGAAGAAAGAUAGAGGUAGUAACUGGCCUCUAUUUGACGGUAAUUACUUAGAAAGUCACGGCUAACUACGUGCCAGCAGCCGCGGUAAUACGUAGGUGGCAAGCGUUGUCCGGAUUUAUUGGGCGUAAAGCGAGUGCAGGCGGUUCAAUAAGUCUGAUGUGAAAGCCUUCGGCUCAACCGGAGAAUUGCAUCAGAAACUGUUGAACUUGAGUGCAGAAGAGGAGAGUGGAACUCCAUGUGUAGCGGUGGAAUGCGUAGAUAUAUGGAAGAACACCAGUGGCGAAGGCGGCUCUCUGGUCUGCAACUGACGCUGAGGCUCGAAAGCAUGGGUAGCGAACAGGAUUAGAUACCCUGGUAGUCCAUGCCGUAAACGAUGAGUGCUAAGUGUUGGGAGGUUUCCGCCUCUCAGUGCUGCAGCUAACGCAUUAAGCACUCCGCCUGGGGAGUACGACCGCAAGGUUGAAACUCAAAGGAAUUGACGGGGGCCCGCACAAGCGGUGGAGCAUGUGGUUUAAUUCGAAGCAACGCGAAGAACCUUACCAGGUCUUGACAUCCAGUGCAAACCUAAGAGAUUAGGUGUUCCCUUCGGGGACG
rnacentral:rRNA from 1 species